ensembl:snRNA U4 U4 spliceosomal RNA
AUAUUUGCUCAGUGGCUGUAUCGUAGCCAAUGAGGGUUAUCCAAGGCUAAACCAUUGCUAAUUAAAAAUUUUUCCCAAUGCCCGGCCACAACAACUGGCAAAAUAGUCAGCCCUGGCAAUUUUUGAUUGUCUCUAUGGAGA